rnacentral:SRP_RNA from 1 species
UGUCAGGAGCUAUGGAGCUGCGGCAGACGAACCCCGCCAGGCCUUGAUCGGAGCAACGGUAGUUUGUCCGCAAUUGCCGUGGUUUCCUGGCGGCA